rnacentral:lncRNA from 1 species
CCAGGGGCCCCUGGCGUUCCCGAGGCCGAGCCCGGCCCAAAGCCACCGCCGCUUUCCAAAGCCAACCCGGGCCAAUGGCGAUCCUCGCAGGGGGAAGGCCGCGCGCGGCCCGCGGAGGUCUUUCUCCGCCUGGAAGCGCCGUCCCAGCCCCGGCGGGGAGGGUGCAGGCCUGCUCCACUCCACUUUAGAAGCCGCGCGCAACUCCACCGCGGCCUGGGGCGUCUCCAACCUGCACCGCUUUUGGCGAGUUUCCCAGUACGCGGUGCCAGGCAAACCCUCUGACCCGAGAACGCUGGUGAAAAUGCAUAUUCCUCUGCAGUUACCAAUACUAACUGGUCUCAUUUCUACUCAACGCGCGUCCUGUGAUUAAGGCUGAGGCAGUGGGUGUCUGGGGAGGAAGUCAGAGCUGGCACCCACAGGACAACCACACGUGCGCACGACACCCCGGUGAGGCCGCACAUCCAGACCAGGAUAUGAGUUAUAAAACCAUACAUCAACAGAUCUAACAAAAUACUGAAUUAGUGGCAAUGGAUACUGAAAAAACUGCCAAACUACACUUCUGUAUCAAACCUGGCCUAUACUUUCCAUAUCCAGCUUUUGACGCUUUUGAAAGAUACGAAGAGCAUUCUGUUACAAGCAAAUAAAGGAGAGCUUCAAUCUUCUUACCAGAAGAACACCCCAAGAAGGAUUCCUUCUAAUCAGCCUAAGACCCAAAAGCUAUUAGCUAAAAAGAAAGGGAAAAGGAAAGAAAUUAAAGACUGUGAACUAACUUGUUUGCUAUGUUGCAUUAGUUUGGGAAGAAAUACAUUUUUAAUGUGCAUGUAAUAUGUGCCAGGCACUCUUAAGCCUCACAGUAACCUAAUGA